GACGAACCGUGCGAACGUUGUUCGGAAUCACUGGGCUUAAAGGGCGCGUAGGCGGGCUGCCAAGUCUGGGGUGAAAUCCCACGGCUCAACCGUGGAACUGCCCCGGAUACUGGCGGCCUCGAGGGGGGUAGGGGCGUGCGGAACUGGUGGGUGGAGCGGUGAAAUGCGUUGAUAUCCACAGGAACUCCGGUGGCGAAGGCGGCACGCUGGAC
rnacentral:rRNA from 1 species